UACGUAGGCAGCAAGCGUUGUUCGGAGUUACUGGGCGUAAAGGGUGUGUAGGCGGUUGUUUAAGUUUGGUGUGAAAUCUCCCGGCUCAACUGGGAGGGUGCGCCGAAUACUGAGGGACUAGAGUACGGGAGAGGAAAGUGGAAUUCCUGGUGUAGCGGUGAAAUGCGUAGAUAUCAGGAGGAACACCGGUGGUGUAGACGGCUUUCUGGACCGUAACUGACGCUGAGACACGAAAGCGUGGGUAGCAAACAGG
rnacentral:rRNA from 1 species